CAACGAUCGUUGUCUUAUGUUGC
rnacentral:siRNA from 1 species